rnacentral:rRNA from 1 species
AUUGAACGCUGGCGGCAGGCUUAACACAUGCAAGUCGAGCGGGGUGAUGGUGCUUGCACUAUCACUUAGCGGCGAACGGGUGAGUAAAGUAUCGGAACGUGCCCAGUCGUGGGGGAUAACGUAGCGAAAGUUACGCUAAUACCGCAUACGAUCUAUGGAUGAAAGCGGGGGAUCGCAAGACCUCGCGCGAUUGGAGCGGCCGAUAUCAGAUUAGGUAGUUGGCGGGGUAACGGCCCACCAAGGCGACGAUGACUAGGGGAUCUGAGAGGAUGACCCCCCACACUGGUACUGAGACACGGACCAGACUCCUACGGGAGGCAGCAGUAAGGAAUAUUGGUCAAUGGGCGCAAGCCUGAACCAGCCAUGCCGCGUGCAGGAUGACUGCCCUAUGGGUUGUAAACUGCUUUUACCCGGGAAUAAACCUACUUACGAGUAAGUAGCUGAAUGUACCGGGGGAAUAAGGAUCGGCUAACUCCGUGCCAGCCGCCGCAGUAA